rnacentral:rRNA from 1 species
GACGAAUGCUGGCGGCGUGCUUAACACAUGCAAGUCGAACGGAAAGGCCCUGCUUUUGUGGGGUGCUCGAGUGGCGAACGGGUGAGUAACACGUGAGUAACCUGCCCUUGACUUUGGGAUAACUUCAGGAAACUGGGGCUAAUACCGGAUAGGAGCUCCUGCUGCAUGGUGGGGGUUGGAAAGUUUCGGCGGUUGGGGAUGGACUCGCGGCUUAUCAGCUUGUUGGUGGGGUAGUGGCUUACCAAGGCUUUGACGGGUAGCCGGCCUGAGAUGGUGACCGGCCACAUUGGGACUGAGAUACGGCCCAGACUCCUACGGGAGGCAGCAGUGGGGAAUAUUGCACAAUGGGCGGAAGCCUGAUGCAGCAACGCCGCGUGCGGGAUGACGGCCUUCGGGUUGUAAACCGCUUUCGCCUGUGACGAAGCGUGAGUGACGGUAAUGGGUAAAGAAGCACCGGCUAACUACGUG